rnacentral:rRNA from 1 species
UACGGAGGGUGCAAGCGUUAUCCGGAUUCACUGGGUUUAAAGGGUGCGUAGGUGGGCAGGUAAGUCAGUGGUGAAAUCUUUGGGCUUAACCCGAAAACUGCCAUUGAUACUAUUUGUCUUGAAUAUUGUGGAGGUCAGCGGAAUAUGUCAUGUAGCGGUGAAAUGCUUAGAUAUGACAUAGAACACCAAAUUGCGAAGGCAGCUGGCUACACAUAUAUUGACACUGAUGCACG